rnacentral:lncRNA from 1 species
AGUAAUGGGAUGGCUGGGUCAAAUGGUAUUCCUAGUUCUAGAUCCUUGAGGAACUGCCACACUGUCUUCCACAAUGGUUGAACUAGUUUACACUCCCAUCAACAGUGUAAAAGUGUUCCUAUUUCUCCAUAUCCUUUCCAGCACCUGUUGUUUCCUUUUUAAUGGUCACCAUUCUAACUCAUGUGAGAUGGUACCUCAUUGUGGUUUUGAUUUGCAUUUCUCUGAUGGCCAGUGAUGAUGAGCAUUUCUUCAUGUGUCUGUUGGCUGCAUAAAAGUCUUCUUUUGAGAAGCGUCUGUUCAUAUCCUUUGCCUACUUUUUGAUGGAGUUGUUUGAUUUUUUCUUGUAAAUUUGUUUAAAUUCUUUGUAGAUUCUAGAUAUUAGCCCUUUGUGAGAUGGGUAGAUUGCGAACAUUUUCUUUCAUUCUGUAGGUUGCCUGUUCACUCUGAUGGUAGUUUCUUUUGCUGUGCAGAAGCUCUUUAGUUUAAUUAGAUCCCAUCUGUCUAUUUUGGCUUUUGUUGCCAUUGCUUUUGGUGUUUUAGUCAUGAAGUCUUUGCCCAUGCCUCUGUCCUGAAUGGUAUUGCCUAGGUUUUCUUCUAGGGUUUUUACGGUUUUAGGUCUAACAUUUAAGUCAUGCCUAACUAAUUUUUAAGUUUUUUGUAGAGACAUGGUCUCACUACAUUGCCCAGGCUGGUCUCAAACUCCAGUCUCGAACUCCUGAGCUCAAUCAAUCCUCCCACCUCUGCCUCCCAAAGUGCUAGGAUUAUAGGCAUGAGCCACUGCACCUGACCUGCAUUAUUUUUUUAACCAGGACAACUGAGUAAAAGCUCUGUUAUGAGAAUGGGACAUAGGAGAGGUAGAUUUUGACUGGGAGGAAAGGAAAACCCAAUAAGAGAUCUUACAUGGAGGGCAGCCCUGAUAAGGAAAGGUGGGACCCUGCUUUGGGCAACACUAAGUGGAGGAAAUAACUAGAAGGAAAUGGAACGUAAGUAAUCCAAUGCAGUAAAUAACCAAGAGAAAAAAGAAAAUGAUGCAAUGACUGACAGCUCAUUUUUUCUUUAUUUCAUUUCAUUCAUUGACAGCCAUUUUACUUGGAAAUAAGAAAAUUUAUAUGGAAUAUAAAUAUGCAAGUGAAGUACUGAGGAUGAUUUUCAGAACCUUCUUUGUAGAUAAUUACACCCAGGUGAGCCUCUUCUGAAUGUCACCUUGAAUUAUAAAUGCCUCCCUCUCUUCUAUCCUCUUAGGCAAUGAAGAUACAUGGUGCAGAAGUUUUGAAAUCAGCCAUAUCUGGCUGAAAGUCCUGAAUCUGCCAUUUAGUGGCUGUGUGACCUUAGGAAAGUCAUGCCACCUCUCUGAGCUUCAGUUUCUCCAUCUGAUUCAUGGUAGUAGUAAUGACAGCUAACACUUUCCUGAUCAUUUUCUAUGAACCAAUGUUGUAAAUCGUCUACAUCGAUCAACUCUUUUCAACCUCAUGACAAACUCAUCAUGUAUAUUGUUAUGGGUUGAAUGGUAUUUCCCAAACAUUUACAUGUUGAAAUCCUAACCCCCAGUAUCAUAGAAUGUGGACUUAUUUGGAUAUAGGAUUGUUGUGGAAGUAAUUAGGUAAUUUAAGAUGACAUUUUACUAGAGUAGGAUGAGCCCCUAAUCCAACAUGACAGGUAUUCUUACAAAAAGAGGAAAUUUAGGCUGGGCGAAGUGGCUCACGCCUGUAAUCCCAGCACUUUGGGAGUCUGAGACAGGCGGAUCAUGAGGUCAGGAGUUUGAGACCAGCCUGGACCACAUGGUGAAACCCUGUCUCUACUAAAAACACAAAAAUUAGCUGGGCAUAGUGGUGUGCACCUGUGAUCUCAGCUACUCAGAAGGCUGAGGCAGGAGCAUUUCUUGAACCUGGGAGGCAGAGGUUGCAGUGAGCUGAGAUCAUGCCACUGCACUCCGGCCUGGGCAACAGAGCAAGACUCUUUCUCAGAGAAAAUUAAUAAAUAAAAAAAAGAAGAAAUUUGGACACAGAGACACACACAUAGGGAGAAUGCCAUGUAAAGAUUGAAACUAUUUUGCCACAAGCCAAGAACUCCCAGAAGCUAGGAGAAAGGCCAGGAACAGGUCUUUCCCUGGUGCCUUCAGAGGGAGCACAACCCUGCUGACACCUUGAUCUUGGACUUCUAGCCUGCAGAGCUGAGACAAUAAAUUCCUGUUGGUAAAGCCACUUGGUUUGUGGUACUUUGUUAUGGCAGCCCUAGCAAAUACGUACAGUCAUGCAUGGUAUAACAGCAUUUCCAUCAAUGCAAAUCACAUAUUCAACGAUGGUCCCAUAGAUAAACAGUACCAUAUUUUUACUGUACCUUUUCUAUGUUUAGAUAUGUUUGGAUACAUAAAUACUUACCACUGUGCUAUAACUGCCUACAGGAUUCAGCACAGGAACAUGUUGUAUAGGUUUGUAGCCUAGGCAUAAUAGACUAUACCGAAUAGCCUAGGCGUGUAGUAGGCUAUACCACCUAGGUUUGUGUAAGUACACUCCUUGAUGUCCAUGCAAUGGCAAAACCGCCUAAUGACACGUUUCUCAAAACAUAUCCCCUUUAUUAAGCAACCUGUGACUAUAGAGUCAGCCCUCCUUUUCCACAGUUCCACAUUUGCAGAUUUAAUUAACUAUAAAUCAAAAAUAUUCAGAAAAACAAAACAAUAAAAAAUACAAAUUUGAAAAACUAUACGGUAUAGCAAGCACUUAUGUAGCAUGUACAUUGUAUUAGGUACUAUAAGUAAUCUGGAAAUGAUUUAAAGUAUAAGUGAGGAUGUGCAUAGGUUCUAAGCAAAUACUAAGCUUUUGUUUUAAAUUUGAGACAGAACCUCCUCUGUUGCCCAGGCUGGAGUGUAGUGGCACAAUCUCAACUCACUGCAACCUCCACCUGCUAGGCUCAGGCAACCUUCCCUGCCUCAGGCUCCCAAGUACCUGGGAUUACAGGUGCUCACCACCACACCUGGCUAAUGUUUGUACAUUUAGUAGAGAUGAGGUUUUGCCCUGUUACCCAGACUGGUCUUGAAUUCCGGGGCUCAAUCGAUCCAACUGCCUCAGCCUCCCAAAGUGUUGGGAUUACAGGCUUGAGCUACUGUGCCUGGCCUAAGCCAUUUUAUAUAAGAGACUUAAGCACUGAUAGACUUUGAUAUCCAUGGAACCAAUUUCCCCAUAAAUACUAACGGACAACUGUAUGUAUAUGUGUGUUAUUACAUUUCCAUUUUACAGAUAAGAAAAACAAAAUGCAAGAACUUAAGGUCACACAGUAAGUAGGUGAGCUGAGAAUUAAACAUGAUCAAAACCUUUACCUUAACCCUUAUAUUACAUGGUAGUGGUACUUAAUAGGAUUGUCAUAAAGACCAAGUGAGAUAAUUCAUGCAAAUAUUUAGCUCUGUGACUAGCACAUAUUAAGCACUCAACAAAUUUAGCUACUAUUGUUUGUUGUGGUGGUUCUGUAUCCAGAAUUAUACAUUUAAUAUUCAUCACAAAUUCUUCAGUUGAGGUCCUAUUAUUCCUAUAUUAUAGAUUUUUAAAAAGACUCAGAAUUAAUGAUGUGACUGGGAUUUCAAAGCAAGUUCUUGCUCCAAAAAACUGUCUUGUUCCAAAUCCAAACUAAACGACCCCUAUUUUCUAUUUAUUAAUCUCCUUCUAACUCUAUUCAAGAAAAGAAUUUCAAUCUGCCCUUGUUGGAAAAAUUCCAGCCAAGCUCAGGAGCUAGAUUGUGGUGGUUCUUUUGGAGGAUUAUGAUGAGAGACAGGUGAAGAGGGCCCCACCCAUGAGAUGAAAUGGAUCUGGCAGGCCUUGAAGCUGCUUGGAUCUCUGCAGGCCUAAGUACUAGUUUACAUGGAUUAUAAUAGAGCUAGGCCUGGCUAGAGGACCCUAACAAAUGAUAUAAACUAAAACCCAUUAUGCCACUAAAAAUAAACUACCGAAUUGAGUCAGAGAAAAAUCUCUCCAUUAAACAGGGCUUGAUGAAAUUCUAACAAAAGUUCACACACAAGACCCAAAGACACAAGCAAUAAGAAAAAGAUAAACAAAUUUGACUCAAAUCGAAUUUUUUAAGUAUUUUUAAGCAGAAGAUGUAACUAAGGCAUCCUAGGCAAAUGCAGCCUGGAAGUUGGCAUUCACAGUGAGUAUAACCGACAAGGAAGUGGUAUCCAGAAAAACGUCUUUAAAGCUCCUACAAGUCAGUAAAAAUAAGAAAAACUGCUCACCAGGAAAAACUGGGCCCAGAUGUUCAGGCCUCCACCAUAAGAUCACAGGAAGGUUUGCAUUUCACAUCCUGUUUCUCAAGAAAUAUGGCCUACGCUUCUGUAUUAGUCCGUUUUCAAACUGCUAUAAAGAUACUACUCAAGACUGCAUAAUUUAUAAAGGAAAGAGGUUUUUAAUUGACUCACAGUUCCACUUGGCUGGGGAGGCCUCAGGAAACUUACAAUCAUGGCGAAAGGGGAAGCAGGUGUGUCUUACAUGGCAGCAGGGUAGAGAGAUAGUGUGAGAGCGCAGGAAAAGCUACCAUUUAUAAAACCAUCAGAUCUCAUGAAAAUUCACUCACUAUCACGAGAACAGCAUGGAGGAAACCACCCCCAUAAUCCAAUCACUUCACUCCUUCCACACAUGGGGAUUACAAUUAGAGAUGAGACUUGGGUGAGGACACAGAGCCAAACCAUAUCACCUUCAACUGAGCAAUCUGCUCCUAGGUGUACAUACCCUAACCUUCCAGGAGACAUGAAUCAGAAUGUUCCCUGCAGCAUUAUUUGUAAUAGUGAGCAAUAAAAACACCUAGAUGGAUAAACAAUUGGUGGCAUAUUCACAAAAAUGAACUAGAGAUAGUGGUAUCUGCAUGGAUACAUCUCAUAAAUAUAAUAGUUUAAAAAAGCAAAUGGCAUUUAUUGUGGAUCACGAGGUCAGGAGAUCGAGACCAUCCUGGCUAACACAGUGAAGCCCCAUCUCUACUAAAAAAAAUACAAAAAAAUUAGCCGGGCGUGGUGGCAGGCAUCUGUGGUCCCAGCUACUCGGGAGGCUGAGGCAGGAGAAUGGCGUGAACCCGGGAGGCGGAGCUUGCAGUGAGCCAAGAUCGCACCACCACACUCCAGCCUGGGCGACAGAGCGAGACUCCAUCUCAAAAAAAAAAAUUAAAAUUAAAAAAAAAAUAAAUUAUUCUCCAAACUUUUAGUAAGUCUGACAUUUUUCAUAAUUAAAAAAACAUAAAAUCUUUUCUAAUGAGAAUUGUAGGGCCAGAGGCACAGAGGGUUCCUGGGGAAAGAAUGUUCAAUAAACAGCAAGCAGCAACUUUUUCCUGUGUCAAGUCUAUUGGUCCUGCCAGGUGCCAGGAGCUGGAGGGUGAUGAAAAUGUUCAGACUCAUUGCUGCCCUCAGAUGGCUUGUGAUCUAACUGGGUAAGAAUCAAAUCAGUGGCAAUGCCAGUCAGGAGUGAAGCAACAAGGCCACAACAAUAUGUGGCAGUCACUCACCAGCCACCAGCCCACAGGAGCAGAGGCUCCUGGGACAUCUGGCCACAGAGAAGUCAACACAACUGGCUCCUAAGCUGCAAGCUUCUUGAAGACAUCUGAGUCCCUGUUCCCUCCCUACCCACAUCUCCAUACUUUUUAUGGUUGGUUACAUUUUUUGUUUUGUUUUGUUUUGUUUUGUUUUAGAGACAGUGUCUCGCUAUGUUGCCCAGGCUGGUCUCAAACUCCUGGACUCAAGUGAUCCUCUCUCAUCAGCCUCCCGAGUAGCCAGGAUUACAGGCAAAUGCCAUGCUGUUGGUGAAAUUUUGUUUAAUUUUUUAUCUUUAAUUAUGAUAUAUUUCAAGCAUAUGAAAAGGCACAGAUGUAAUGAACACCCGAGGACAUCCUAGACAACAGAUGUUAACAUCAUUUGCAUUUGUUUUGGAUAUAUUUUGUAAUAUAUCAACAUAGAUGGAGCAAAUCCUCACACCCUGACCCCAAGUCUUCCCGUUCCCUCCCACGCCGAAGGGAACCACUGUCCUAACACUAUUUAUCUCUCCCAUGCAUACUUUUGGACCUAUAAACACAGAAUAUUGUAAGACAAUGUAGUAAAACAAUAGAUUUCACACUUUUUACCACACUCAAUCCAUGAAAAGCAUUUUAUACUUUGACCCUGUAAACAUGCACGCACACACACACACACGUGCAUGCAUAUACGUAGACAUAUAUACCUGUGUAUGUGAGCGCAUAUGUAAUCUGAAACAAAAUUUUCAUGAAAUAACACUCUUAACUACUUGCGGUACAUUCUGAUUUUUUUUUUUUUUUUUUAAGAUGGAGGCAAGAGAAUCAUUUAACCCGGGAGGCUGAGGUUGCAGUGAGCGGAGAUUGCACCACUGCACUCCAGGUUGGGUUACAGACUUUUUCUUUUUUCUACAACCAUGACAAUCCCAACUCAGCUCAUAGGGACUAACAAGAAAGUGGACUCUACAGUCUCUAUAGCAACACUGGAGUGGAGGAGGCAAGCUAACUCUAAGUUGUUAUGUUGAUGGUGGCUGAUCAUCAGGCAUGUUUAGUACCAAAGUUCUCGAACAUGUAUGCUUGAAUGUACACCCUACAUGAUUUCUUUGUAAUGUUCUUUUUCCAUCCCAUGACUCCACCCAAAUUCUCCACUCACUAUCUCCCACUGUAUGGUUUUAUGGGGCUGCUCAUCCAAGGACCGUACUGGUACAGUAUUCUCAAUUCCUUCCAUUAUCAUAUUGUUAUAAUAAAAAUGUUAUUUUUGUAUCCUAGGUAACCCAAUU